rnacentral:lncRNA from 1 species
UACUCCCUCCGUCCACGAAAGAACUUCCUAUCUUUCCUUUUUGGGACGUCCACAAAAGAAUUUCCUACCUAUUUUUGGACUAUACCCCACCACUUAUAAUCCUCUUACUUUUCACUUUUCACAACUCUCAAUAUUAAUUAUAACACAUUUUCACCACUCCCAAUACACUCAACGACCUUUUAUCCACUCUCAAUAUACUCAACAAUAUUUUUUCUUAAAACC